UGUGCCAGCCGCCGCGGUAAUACGUAGGGUGCGAGCGUUGUCCGGAAUACNUGGGCGUAAAGGGCUCGUAGGUGGUUUGUCGCGUCGUCUGUGAAAUUCCGGGGCUUAACUCCGGGCGUGCAGGCGAUACGGGCAUAACUUGAGUACUGUACGGGGUAACCUGGAAUUCCUGCGUGUAGUGGCUGAAAUGCGCAGAUAUCAGGAGGAACACCGAUGGCGAAGGCAGGUUACUGGGCAGUUACUGACGCUGAGGAGCGAAAGCAUGG
rnacentral:rRNA from 1 species